UUAAAAAUAACGGGAAAAAUGGGCCGAAAAGAAUUACGAAAAUCGACGAAGAAAACACACUGGAAAAACUGCUGACGAUUUGCGAUUGUGUGUGGGGCAAGUGCGAGGCGUUCACCGGCGUGCGCGUUACUGAAGAUCGGCAGUGGCAGCGGCAGCGACGGCAGCGGCUGCUGGGACAGCGACGGCAACUGCGACGUCGACUGCGACGGCGACGGCGACUGCGACUGCGAACGGGUACGGAACUGGCAGGCAGAGCAGAAGACGGCGACGUUUUUGAGCAAAUCCAGCGCAUAUUGCUCUGUGUGUGUGUGUGUGUAUGUGUGUCAGCCAACGUCAACGACCAACGGCCUGAGAAACCAGCCAAAAGUGCUCUGCAGCGCGUUUAUGCGGGCCAUGUUUGUGCGAUCGAGAAGAGAUCAGGAAAAUUCAAAAGAUUUGCAGGAAAUUUUUGUAAUAUGGAAAUACUCUUGCAAUGUUUUGCUUUUAUUUUUAUUUGGAAAUUUGCGGCACGCCGACGCCUUAAUAUCCUUGUCGACAGCAUGAUGAAAAUAUCUUGGAAAACUAUCCAAAAAAAAAAUGAAAUUUUUCCCAUCUGUUAAUUCUAAACGUUAAAAGCGCAUGCCUCAAAAUGGAUGUCUCAGAGAUAGCGGACAUGCCAAGGGUUACCCAGUUCCGAUCAAAACUUGUUAAGUAGUCAAAUUGGUUGUCGAAGCUAAUCUUUAAUAAACAAGUGAAUGCCCAUUGAGUUAGCUUUUCGCGAAUUGCCAGCACGCACAAACGAAGGCGGGCAACGAAAACAGAUUGCGACCAGCCUUGUCCACCUGUCUCGAAUUGCAGUACAGCUGCAUUGGGGCUAAAGGCCUCGGCCUUGUCGCAACUUGACCAUACAAUUUAAAGUGAAAUAUAUAAAAGAAUAAACCAAUUUUUAAGUGAACAGCAUAA